ACGGAAGGCAGCAGUGGGGAAUAUUGCACAAUGGGGGAAACCCUGAUGCAGCGACGCCGCGUGAGUGAAGAAGUAUUUCGGUAUGUAAAGCUCUAUCAGCAGGAAAGAAAAUGACGGUACCUGUCUAAGAAGCCCCGGCUAACUACGUGCCAGCAGCCGCGGUAAUACGUAGGGGGCAAGCGUUAUCCGGAUUUACUGGGUGUAAAGGGAGCGUAGACGGCUUUGCAAGUCUGAAGUGAAAGCCCGGGGCUCAACCCCGGAACUGCUUUGGAAACUGUAGAGCUAGAGUGCAGGAGAGGUAAGUGGAAUUCCUAGUGUAGCGGUGAAAUGCGUAGAUAUUAGGAGGAACACCAGUGGCGAAGGCGGCUUACUGGACUGUAACUGACGUUGAGGCUCGAAGGCGUGGGGAGCAAACAGGAUUAGAUACCCUGGUA
rnacentral:rRNA from 1 species